AUGGAGCCGACCUUGAAAUACCACCCUUUAAUGUUUGAUGUUCUAACGUUGACCCGUAAUCCGGGUUGCGGACAGUGUCUGGUGGGUAGUUUGACUGGGGCGGUCUCCUCCUAAAGAGUAACGGAGGAGCACGAAGGUUGGCUAAUCCUGGUCGGACAUCAGGAGGUUAGUGCAAUGGCAUAAGCCAGCUUGACUGCGAGCGUGACGGCGCGAGCAGGUGCGAAAGCAGGUCAUAGUGAUCCGGUGGUUCUGAAUGGAAGGGCCAUCGCUCAACGGAUAAAAGGUACUCCGGGGAUAACAGGCUGAUACCGCCCAAGAGUUCAUAUCGACGGCGGUGUUUGGCACCUCGAUGUCGGCUCAUCACAUCCUGGGGCUGAAGUAGGUCCCAAGGGUAUGGCUGUUCGCCAUUUAAAGUGGUACGCGAGCUGGGUUUAGAACGUCGUGAGACAGUUCGGUCCCUAUCUGCCGUGGGCGCUG
rnacentral:rRNA from 1 species